CAGAUAUAGACGACUGCAAUGGCGUUACCUGUCAAAACGGUGGAAACUGCGUUGAUGGCAUUGACUCAUACACCUGCGACUGUGCUGUUGGCUUUGAAGGCACUCACUGUGAAACAAACAUAGACGACUGCAACGGUGUUACCUGUCAAAACGGUGGAAACUGCGUUGAUGGCAUCAACUCAUACACCUGCGACUGUGCUGUUGGCUUUGAAGGCACUCACUGUGAAACAAACAUAGACGACUGCAACGGUGUUACCUGUCAGAACGGUGGAAACUGCGUUGAUGGCAUCGACUCAUACACCUGCGAUUGUGCUGUUGGCUUUGAAGGCACUCACUGUGAAACAAACAUAGACGACUGCAAUGGUGUUACCUGUGAAAACGGUGGAAACUGCGUUGAUGGCAUUGACUCAUACACCUGCGACUGUGCUGUUGGCUUUGAAGGCACUCACUGUGAAACAA